AGCCCUGCUGGAGCAGCAAUUCCUCUCUCCUCUACUCUGAGCCCAGUCCCAGAGGCUAUCACUGCACCCUCAGCACUGCAGCAAGUGCUCUGCCACACCGGCUGCUUGCCUGCCAACUCUGCAUGUCUGCAAUGAGCAGGUCUUUUGCUGCUCAGCUUCUCCAGUUUCCUGGUAAGCAGUUCUCAGCCUCUGGGAUUCCCUGGCUCUGUUACCACCUUGUAGGGCCUGCUGGCUACGCACAACACAGCUGGGACCCCAGUCUCCACACUGCCUAGUACCGAGCAGAAGCGCAGCUUGUGGACUCUGGGUGGGGGAAGGGUCCAGACAGAGGAUUUACCAUAGCUAGAUUGCUGUCUCCAUGUGAGCGCCCAGCUAAGUGCAGACACCACUUGUUUGAGGGAAGACAGCACCGGAAGGACAUGAUGCCACACCCCAAGGCCAGGGAGCUGCAGAGUGCAUGAGGCAUGUCUGCAGGAGGCAUCAAAGCAGCAAGGAGACACUGCAGGCCCUGCUUGUCACCUCCAAGCUCCAAGUGAACACAGCUGACUCCUGGAAGCAAGAGCUGUGGGACCAGCAGGAGGAGAGACUCCAGAUGUGAAGGGGAAAAUUGGUCAGGCUUGUGGAUGCCUACACCUGAGCUGCUGAGGCACAAAAAUAGCGGGUUAUGAUAUCUACCUGCUCUUCUGAGGAAACAACCCAUGCGUCUGCACAGCUAACAGAGACCAAGCUCCAGGAGACAGAAUACUUGGACGGGGUCCUAGACCACUUUAUAUCCACCCACAACAACCUGACUGGCACCAGCACUGCCUCCUGUGGAGAGCCCACAACCCUCCCAACCUCUCCUCCAAGGACUCUUUAAUGGGGUGACAGGAAUGGCAGUCCCAUAGGAAGGACUCCUGGAUGCUAGCUCAGGGGGAGAACACCCCACCACCACACCCUGACUGGGAGCUACUGGAGUUGAGGGCCUACUGGCAUGAGGGAGCCUGCAACCUGUAGUCUGGGGAAGCAGAAAGGCUACCAGCAGGGCCCACUCCAGUAGGCAGUGAUGGAUGAGGGUAGAAGGGCUGGGGUGCCUGGACUGUAAGGGACACUGGCCCCUUUGCAGAAGCAAUCUGCUUCCCCCAGCUCUGGUGGUUUCCUUUCAUAUGCAGGCCCCCAAGUGGUUCCAGGACAGUCCCAAUGGGACACAGGUACACUCAGAACCAGGGGACUAGCUCAAACUAGCUCACCAGACCAUGUUGUUCCUAGAACUGUGUCUGGCAAGAGAGCCCACUGGCCUCAGCACAUCCCCGCACCAGCUCAGGGUCCCAAGGGGUAGAACUCUUCCGCUCUCUAAGGCACCCCUCCCGGGCUGGAUGUUACUGCUAGAGAAGCAGCAUAACCUUUGUGAGGAUAGGCAGGCCCUGUGAUUGUUCCUGCUAGAUAACACAAGUCCCAGGCAUGGCUGAGGGCCGUGGGGCUAGGGUUCCUGAAGGGGGAGACUGGGCCCUUGGGGGUGGGGGAUGAGGGGCUGGAGGUCAUAUGAGGGAGAGCCAGGAGUCCACAGCCCUCGCUUUGGUGGUAUCUUCUAACCCCUGACCCAGCAGCUGCCUCCCACUCCUGCCCCACAGCUCUCUUAAAGUGGGUCCAGGUUCACCCACCUGCCCAGGUCAUACAUGGAGAAGUCCCUAGUCUUCACUCCCAAGUCUGGAAAUUAGUGUGCCAGGUCAAAAGUUCCCUAUCCCAUGCCUCUUCUCCAAGGUUUUGUGUUGGUUGCAUUCAACCCUGCAGCAUUCUCCCUGAUCCCAACCCCUCCCCUGUCCUAACCACUCCUUCCAGGUUAUUUUGACCCUUUCACAAACCUCUCCCAUCCCCUCCAUAAGUUUGAUAAUUUGUGUCAACAGGAAGAGGAACCAAGCUGAGAUACUGACAAUGUUUGAUGGAUUGUCUUUUAUUAAAAAUGAGAAAAGUUUGUCAACUGAAACCUUAUAAACUGAGGCACAUGUCUCCCUCAUGCUGCCUUCCCCUACAUCCCAGUUUGUGCCCCUGGUGGGAGUGGGGAAGGGAAACAGUGUCCAGGUAGCAUGGGUUGUGGGAAGCACUGCCUAGGAAGCAGGGCCAAUGGAGCCCAGGGCAGGAGAUCCAUAUGGU